rnacentral:rRNA from 1 species
GAUGAACGCUGGCGGCGUGCCUAAUACAUGCAAGUCGAGCGAACGGACGAGAAGCUUGCUUCUCUGAUGUUAGCGGCGGACGGGUGAGUAACACGUGGAUAACCUACCUAUAAGACUGGGAUAACUUCGGGAAACCGGAGCUAAUACCGGAUAAUAUUUUGAACCGCAUGGUUCAAAAGUGAAAGACGGUCUUGCUGUCACUUAUAGAUGGAUCCGCGCUGCAUUAGCUAGUUGGUAAGGUAACGGCUUACCAAGGCAACGAUGCAUAGCCGACCUGAGAGGGUGAUCGGCCACACUGGAACUGAGACACGGUCCAGACUCCUACGGGAGGCAGCAGUAGGGAAUCUUCCGCAAUGGGCGAAAGCCUGACGGAGCAACGCCGCGUGAGUGAUGAAGGUCUUCGGAUCGUAAAACUCUGUUAUUAGGGAAGAACAUAUGUGUAAGUAACUGUGCACAUCUUGACGGUACCUAAUCAGAAAGCCACGGCUAACUACGUGCCAGCAGCCGCGGUAAUACGUAGGUGGCAAGCGUUAUCCGGAAUUAUUGGGCGUAAAGCGCGCGUAGGCGGUUUUUUAAGUCUGAUGUGAAAGCCCACGGCUCAACCGUGGAGGGUCAUUGGAAACUGGAAAACUUGAGUGCAGAAGAGGAAAGUGGAAUUCCAUGUGUAGCGGUGAAAUGCGCAGAGAUAUGGAGGAACACCAGUGGCGAAGGCGACUUUCUGGUCUGUAACUGACGCUGAUGUGCGAAAGCGUGGGGAUCAAACAGGAUUAGAUACCCUGGUAGUCCACGCCGUAAACGAUGAGUGCUAAGUGUUAGGGGGUUUCCGCCCCUUAGUGCUGCAGCUAACGCAUUAAGCACUCCGCCUGGGGAGUACGACCGCAAGGUUGAAACUCAAAGGAAUUGACGGGGACCCGCACAAGCGGUGGAGCAUGUGGUUUAAUUCGAAGCAACGCGAAGAACCUUACCAAAUCUUGACAUCCUUUGACAACUCUAGAGAUAGAGCCUUCCCCUUCGGGGGACAAAGUGACAGGUGGUGCAUGGUUGUCGUCAGCUCGUGUCGUGAGAUGUUGGGUUAAGUCCCGCAACGAGCGCAACCCUUAAGCUUAGUUGCCAUCAUUAAGUUGGGCACUCUAAGUUGACUGCCGAUGACAAACCGGAGGAAGGUGGGGAUGACGUCAAAUCAUCAUGCCCCUUAUGAUUUGGGCUACACACGUGCUACAAUGGACAAUACAAAGGGCAGCGAAACCGCGAGGUCAAGCAAAUCCCAUAAAGUUGUUCUCAGUUCGGAUUGUAGUCUGCAACUCGACUACAUGAAGCUGGAAUCGCUAGUAAUCGUAGAUCAGCAUGCUACGGUGAAUACGUUCCCGGGUCU